rnacentral:lncRNA from 1 species
GGAAGGCCCUGAGCCACGGAGACCUGCUGCAGAUGAGGAAGGGUGGGGCAAGCCCCUGCUCCGGGGUACUGUUUGGGGACAAGCUGAACUUACACAUUUAGCCCACAGAUGUUCGCUGGAAGCGUCCCAUGUGGUUGCUGACCACUUUGCUCAUGUUAAAACCAGCAAGAACAACAGCCGUUUCUUGGAUGCGUAACAUGAAUCAGGGAUUGUGCUGGAUAUUCGACAUCCUUCAGUAGGUUUAACAUUCACAAAUAUUGUGCAAGAUGCAGCCAUUAGAACAUCACAAGGUGAAUGCUGUCACUUUGAGGCCAAGAAACGACACUGCCAUGGAAGGCUGCCCUGGGCACACUGGGCUUCUCUGAGAAUUCGCGUGUGCACAGCUAAACACUGGGGCGGGUGCAGCCCAGCAAGCCCUGCUCGUCUUUGGGAACAAUUUAUUACUGCACUCUGACCCCAGGAAUGCCUGGCAUGCAGACUGAUUCUAAUUAAAGACCCCGAGAGAAAGAUUCCAAUAUAAAAUCGAUAAAAAAAUGCGAACUUGAACAAAUAAAUAGUGAGCA